rnacentral:rRNA from 3 species
CCUUUGCGACCCCAGGUCAGGCGGGGCUACCCGCUGAAUUUAA